ensembl:snRNA LOC120095786 U2 spliceosomal RNA
UUCGCAUCUCGGCCUUUUGGCUAAGAUCAAGUUCUUAUCAGUUUAAUAUCUGAUACGUCCCAUAUCUGAGGACAAUAUAUUAAAUGGAUUUUUGGAAUUAGGAGUUGGAAUAGGAGCUUGCUCCGUACACUCCAUGCAUCGACCUGGUAUUGCAGUACCUCCAGGAACGGUGCACCCCCU